AUUUCUCUGAAACCAUUUCUUACAUUAUAUCUUAUAGCAUGAUAGUAUUCUUUUUUUUUUUUUUUUUUUUUUUUGCUGAGGCAGUUAGGGUUAAGUGACUUGCCCAGGGUCACACAGCUAGGAAGUAUUAAGUGUCUGAGGCUGGAUUUGAACUCUGGUCCUCCUGACUUCAGGACUAGUGCUCUACGAUAGUAUUCUUUAUGCAUAUUAUAUCUAUAGGUUUUCAUUAAAUUGCUUAUCUGGUAACCCUCUCAAAAAAAAUUGCAUUUAUUCUGUUUUAUCUGAUUUUUAAUGAAAAUUUUUUGACUUAUAAUGAUCAUUACUUCCCUUCCUAAGCAGUCCAAGAAGCAUAUUUUUAACAAUAUUUUCUAGAUAAUUAUGAGUCUAAUAAUAGGCAAGUCACUUAAACUCUCUGAAUCUGACUUCCUUAUAUUACCUGUGGUAUAAAUGAUUUCUAGCCAUCUCCCAGAGUUACUGUGGCCAUCAAAGAAGACAUAGAGCAAAGCUUCUUAAAUUAUGGGUCAUGACCCUUAUAUGGGGUCUUAUAACUAAAUGUGGUAGUCAUGAAAUUAUGAUUUAUUAUCAAUAAAUGUUUGAUUUGUAUAUCUAUUUUAUAUGCCUACAUGCCCAGGGUCACAUAAGUGACUUGCCCAAGGUCACACAGAUAGGAAGUGUUAAGUGUCUGAGGCCAGAUUUGACCUCAGGUUCUCCUGAUUUUGAGCUAAUGUUCUAUCUACUGUGCCACCUAGCUGCCCCACAUAUAAAAUUUCUUAGAUGAAAAGGGGUUGUGAAUAGAAAAAUGUUUUAAAAACCCUAGUAUAGAGUACUUCUUAAAAACAAACAAAUGAAUGAAUGAAUUAAUGAAUAAAUAAAAAUUUCUAGAAUGUUUUUGGAUAUUAAAGUAUAAAUUACUGUCCUAUAGGAUAAUUCUAAUUCCAUUUAGAAGAAUCUAUCUUAUGUCUCCUUUAAAAAUGUGGACAUUUACCCUUCGAUAAGAAGGGGUAACAGUCUCAAAGCUUAUUUAUCUUGUCCCAUUAUUUUUCAGAGAUCUGCAACAGCAAAUCAUGCCCACAUAUUUUUGGCAUCCUUCCAGCUCCAGUAGCAUGGAUCCAUUAAAGUAGUUAGGUACUUUCUUUCCAUUUCUUUUUGUAUACUCAGUUUUUAAUCAUAUUCUUCCUCCCAUUCUGAAGAUCAUUUUUGCUUGUAGAAAAAUUGAAAACUCUAAUCAGUGAAUCCUAUCUACUUUUUUCUUCUUCCUCUUGUCACAAACUGAGUCUUCAAAACCAUUUUAGAUUUUCUCAGCAUUCAUUACGUUUCAUCUCAUUGUUUUUUAGCCUUUUUUUUUUAAACAAUAUUUUCACAGUAUUGUUCUACUUUUUUGGUAUUAUCCUCAGAUAAAUAUGUUCUUAUUCACGAUUUCAUCUUGUCUAUGUCUUUUAAUCAUUUUAAGUAUACCAAUGAUUAUCAAUAAUACUGAUGAUGGUGAUGAUGAUGAUAACAGAAGAGUAUAAGCUCCUUCUCCCAUUUUGUCACUGAAACCUUAGGUCAUCGACUUAAAUUCAAUGGACCUUAGUUUUUGUUGGGUUUUUUUUCUUCUUUCUUGAAGAAGACCCUGACAUCAGGGAGGUGAUGCCAUGACAUGCAACCAAAUUGGGAUGAAGUGAGGGAGGGCUGUGCAAGGUCACCCACUUCACUGUCUCUUGCCGAGCCAUCUGGGUCCAGUGGCAAGAUGUAGAUCAGGAGGAUUGGAGAUGUCCCUGCAUGAAGCGGGAGCCCUUGGCCUUUUCAAACCUUGAUCCAAGGUGGAAGUGGAUUGGAUGCCAGCAAGAGAACACAGGAAUCAGCAGUAGUGGAAGGUGGCUAUUAGAGACUGAAAGUUAUAGCCGAGGAACAGAAUCUUCAAACUAAAUAGGCAAACUUAAAUAGGCAACACUACAUAUAUACCAUGAAGGGUAUAGCACCCUCCAAAAUCUGUAAGGAAAUAAGGAGAGAGGAAUGGGCAGAUAGGGAAGCAAAGGGUGUGGGAAGAAGGCAAGGGAGAGAAUCCAUAUAUAGGAGGAGGUUAAGUAAUAGUAAGGCAAUUAAGGAACAGAAUUAAAGCAGAGUCAGCAGGAAUUGGAAAGCUCUCUGUGUGUGUGUGUGUAUGUAAAUGUAUAUGUAUAUAUCUACAUAUUAUAUCCUUUCUUAACUAUAGCCUGUUGCGGGAGGUGGAGGGAGGAUAAAAGAGGGGAAAAGAAGAAACUGGAAAAGGUGCAUAGGAGAGAAAAAAAAAUAACAAUUUACAAGAAAGUAAAAAAAAUGGACACUUAUGAAUAUAAUUUUUUCUACUAAUGUGUGUGUAUGUAUAUGUAUAUAUAUAUUUUCUUGAACUGGUAAUUUGUUGUUACAUAUUUUGAAUCCUCCCUGAUGUUCUGCAGGGCACAUGGUAAUGUUCUUUUUUUGGUUUGUUUUAUUUUGUUUUGUAUUUCCUUCUGAUUUUUCUUUUUCUUUACUUUGUUUCUAAAAUAAAAUAAAUUUUUAAAAAAUUUCUCUUUUUAUCUUAA